rnacentral:rRNA from 1 species
AUUGAACGCUGGCGGCAGGCCUAACACAUGCAAGUCGAACGAGUGGCGGACGGGUGAGUAAUGUCUGGGAAACUGCCUGAUGGAGGGGGAUAACUACUGGAAACGGUAGCUAAUACCGCAUACCAUCGGAUGUGCCCAGAUGGGAUUAGCUAGUAGGUGGGGUAAAGGCUCACCUAGGCGACGAUCCCUAGCUGGUCUGAGAGGAUGACAGGCCACACGGGACCUGAGACACGGUCCGGACUCCUACGGGAGGCAGCAGGGGGGAAUAUUGCGCAAUGGGCGCAAGCCUGAGCGAGCCAUGCCGCGUGUAUGAAGAAGGCCUUCGGGUUGUAAAGUACUUUCAGCGGGGAGGCGUUACCCGCAGAGAAAGCACCGGCUAACUCCGUGCCAGCAGCGGCGGUAAUCC